rnacentral:lncRNA from 1 species
AUCAUAUGUAAAAUAGUAUAAAAAUAAAUAAGAGCUUUUAUUGAUGAAAAUAACAUCUUUGAACUAGACAUGAUCCUAACAUUUGUGAAACAUUCGGAUGAAAUUAAAUUUAUAUUACAAACAAUCAUAUAUAAAGAAAAUAAUAUAGAGAAACGUAAAGAAUAGAACACUAUAUCUAAUAAUAUAGUAAUCUUACAUAAAUAACCGCAAUAAAGAAUACAUACUAUACUAUAAUUCCGCCGAAUAUAGUAUAGUCUUCAACUUCA